GCGGACUCUCAACCACUGCGCCACCAGCGAAGCCACCGCCCCUUUCUUUUUCAUAUUUUUUUGUUCCUCUUCCUUCCUACCUUCAUUUGACUUAUUUAAACAUUGUUAGUAGGUGGUCUAGUGAUUACCCUAUACAUCCUUAACAUCUCACAGCAUACUUGGAAUCAAUAAAUUACCAUUCAAACUGAGUAUAGAAACCUAUACCACCAUUAUGUACCUUUGCCAUAAGCCCUUUAUGAUAUGUAUAUAGUACAUGUAGAUAUAAUGAAACUCUAUGAGACAAUGUUGUAAUUUUCACUUUCAAUCAUCAAACAUACUUUAAAGAACUCAAGAGAAUAACAGUCUGUCAUUUUUACCCAGAUCUUUCCUAGCUUUGCUAUUGUUCAAUCAUGCUGUUCCAAGUGUCCUUCUGGUAUCAUUUUUCUUGUCUCACACUCUACUUUUUUCUAGCACUUCUGCUGGCAAUGGAUUAUCUCAGUUUACCUUCAAAUCAAAAUGUAUUUUUCACCUCUUUGUCUGAACAAUAUUUUUGCUAUAUCAGCAUUCUGGUCUAUUCUUUCAACAUUUAAAAAAGUCAUGUCAUUUCUUUAUGGCCUCUGUGGUUCUGAUGAGAGCAGAUCGAAGUUUCCCUUUAGUUUUCCUCAGGUUGCUUUCAAGAAGUUUUUAUUUUUUUCCUUUGGUUUUCAGCAGUUUAAUAGUAAUAUGUCUGGGUGUGGCUUUAUAGGAGUAUAUCCUGCUUCAAGUUUACUGAACGUUUUGAAUCUGGUUUAAGUCUUUUGCCAAAUUUGGAAAGUUUUCAAAUUUGGAAAUUCAAAAUAAAUUUCCCCCUUUUUCAAGGUCCUCUUUCUCCUCUUGUUUUGUGCCUCCAAUGAUGUGAAUAUAAGAUCUUUGUUAUUUUCCAGUUUGUCCCUGAAGCACCAGCCAUCUUUUAAAAUAACUUUUCACUCUGUCAUUUAGACUGGAUAGUUACUAUCUUCACUAUCUACUAUCUUCUAUCUACUAUCUAUCUACUAUCUUCACAUUCACUGACUUUUUCUCAGUCACUGUCUGCUAUUAGGACAAUCCAUUGAGGCAUUGUUGUUUAUAAUUUUGGUUAAUACAUUUUCAGUUCUGAAGUUUCAAUUUGGACUUAUAUGUCCCAUUUUUUUGCUAAGACUUUCUAACAUUCAAUUCAUUUCAGUUCUCACCCCUAAUUCUCAGAGCACUGAAUAAUCACUACUUCAAAGUAUUUAUUAGAAGAUUUCAACAUCUGUGUCAUCUCAGUAUUGAUAUCUGUUGAUUCUCUUUUCCAAGUCAGUUAACCAAUUUUCCUGGUUCUUCAUUUGCUGAAUAAUGUUGGAUUAUAAACUGGCCAUUUUUGCAUCAGACUUGGUGUCUUGUUCAAAUUUUAUGGAGAAUAUUGCUACUUUUGUUUUUGCAGUCAAUUGACUGCCUUGUGUUAAAGUUCCAAGUACCGACCAGUCUUCUGUGUGUUGUGGUUUCAUAGUCCAAUCCAUUUCCAAAGACUUUCUGAUACUAUUUGGAGAUCUCUGGAGUGUGUGCAAUCCAGUGACCAGUGUGGACUUGGGCAGUGCGCUAUCACUUCAGUUCUCAAAGUUUUUGUUGUUUAGGACCUGAGUCACUUGUACAUAGAUCAUGGGUUCAUCCAGAAGUUCACUAAUAACUUCACGUGUUUGCUUUCCACAGUGUCUUUCUCGAUAUUUUCUGGUUACUUGGGGCACUCGGUUUCAGUCCCUGAUGAGAAAGCUGUGGCCUUAUUGAACCCCGCUCUGUCCUGAACUGUGCCGCCUUGUGGCCAAGUUGCAGGAAGAAACAGGAAUAAAAAGACGAAUUGGGCAUAUCCCUUUAGAUGACCAGCUAUUCUGAAGAAACAGAAAACAAAUUAUAGGUUGAAAGUAUCUGUACAUACCGAAAGCCAGUAGAGCCAGCGCUGCCCUGCCUUGUCCUUGCCCAAAGAAGUGUCCAAAGUGUCUAAUUUUCUCAUUUCUUACUACAGGCUGGAAGAUUGGCGCUCCUCGGUAGAACGAGUAAAACUUAGAGAAUGUGGAUAUCGAUCCCCCUACCUCUCGCAUCCCAAGCGAGCGCUCUACCACUUGGGCUAACUCCCCUACACCAAACUCACUCUCUCUUUUUUCCCCCCGCCCCCCUUCCUCCUUCAGCUUUUCAGAGUACUUCAUUAUUCGCUCUUUUGGGAGGCCCAAGCUUCAGGAAAUGUCAAGGCCAUUAAUGCGAAACCAGAAUUUAGACUAAGGGCACAUCUUCUCAAAGAUGCCCCAAAGCAAGAGCGCGGUUGGUACCUAUUCCUCCGCUAAGAAAAGAAAGUAGCCAUGGGAAAAGUUUGAUACCCCAAAAGUUCACGUUUCAGAUUUUCUGGGACAGAAGAGAACACGUCUCACUUGGGAGGAGUCACCCAGAACAGUUGGCUAAUGCGACAAGACUACCUCAGGAUGAUUAUCUGUGUCUUGAAAAGGAAACCGAAACAACAAACCAAAAGAAGUUGGAUGAUCACUUGUUCCUUUUAGGGCAGGUGGUACACUGAUUUUUCCCAGAUGGUGGAAGGCAAAAGAAUCAGCUGUUGUUUCCGCCCGGUUUCGAACCGAGGACCUCUCGCGUGUUGGGCGAGCGUGAUAACCGCUACACUACGGAAACUCACAUUGGGGUUUCUUCCCGGCAUAUUUAUUCAAUUCUUGCUGAGGUGGGUUAUGAAAGGUUUCACAUCUACACCGUGUGAGAGAAUAACCAAAAACUACAAACUAUUACAAGCAGGACCCAUCGGAAAUAAGAAGCGAGAUCAUAUCAGAGAGAAGAAAUAAAAUAUGGACAUUGAGGGGUGAAGAUGAAGAGUGAACAGGGUGGAAGGAACAGGCAUGGAGCCUGUAUUCCAAGUCCCCAGUGGUGGUCAUCCUUCUCUCAAAGGCUCAGAGAGGCAGCAAAUGGAAAGAGGUUGGAAGAUUUGCAGUUGUCAGCUGGAGCUCCGUGGUUGAAAGAGUAAAAGUUGGAGAAUGUGGGUAUCGAUCCCACUACCUCUCACAUGCUAAGCGAGCGCUCUACCACUUGAGUUAAUCCCCCACUUGUCUCUCUGAUUCCUUUCCUCAAAUAUUUUAGAGUAAUAUCUCCACUUCAUUAUUCACUCUUCUGGGUGACCCAAACUUCAGAAAAUUUCAAGGUCCUUAUUGUGAAACCAGGACUGGACUCAGGGCACAGCUACUCAAAGAUGCCCUGAGGCAAAAGCGUGAUUGGUACCUAUUCCUCUGCUAAGGAAGGGAGGAGAGAGUGGCCGUGGGAAAAAGAAGAAGAGACAGAGGGAACAUUUUUGGACUUCACUGUUGAAGAGAAACUGGAAAUUAAGAACCUGUGUAGAAGAAAAUACAUGCAAAAGGAAAUAGGGUUUUAAUUCUGUUCCAGUUUUCACCCAACUUUAAACUAUUAUCAGUUGUGACGGUUUUAUAACGGGAGUCCUAAACAUCUGUGUUCCCUUAUAUCUUUAUUUGUUAUUCACUAAUUACAGUAGAAGUAGAAGAUUCUGUCUGGGAAAAUUUUAAAUUAUACAGUAUAAAUAAGUUGUCAUUCAUCAAUAAAAUUCAAAACAUCGAAUAAGGCCUAAAGAAAGAGUAAAAUAA